GACGAACGCUGGCGGCGUGCCUAAUACAUGCAAGUAGAACGCUGAAGCGAGGAGCUUGCUCUUCUUGGAUGAGUUGCGAACGGGUGAGUAACGCGUAGGUAACCUGCCUUGUAGCGGGGGAUAACUAUUGGAAACGAUAGCUAAUACCGCAUAACAAUGGAUGACACAUGUCAUUUAUUUGAAAGGGGCAAUUGUUCCACUACAAGAUGGACCUGCGUUGUAUUAGCUAGUAGGUGAGGUAAUGGCUCACCUAGGCGACGAUACAUAGCCGACCUGAGAGGGUGAUCGGCCACACUGGGACUGAGACACGGCCCAGACUCCUACGGGAGGCAGCAGUAGGGAAUCUUCGGCAAUGGGGGCAACCCUGACCGAGCGACGCCGCGUGAGUGAAGAAGGUUUUCGGAUCGUAAAGCUCUGUUGUAAGUCAAGAACGGGUGUGAGAGUGGAAAGUUCACACUGUGACGGUAGCUUACCAGAAAGGGACGGCUAACUACGUG
rnacentral:rRNA from 1 species